AGGCUUAACACAUGCAAGUCGAGCGCCCGCAAGGGGAGCGGCAGACGGGUGAGUAACGCGUGGGAAUCUACCCAUCUCUACGGAAUAACGCAUGGAAACGUGUGCUAAUACCGUAUACGUCCUUCGGGAGAAAGAUUUAUCGGAGAUGGAUGAGCCCGCGUUGGAUUAGCUAGUUGGUGGGGUAAAGGCCUACCAAGGCGACGAUCCAUAGCUGGUCUGAGAGGAUGAUCAGCCACACUGGGACUGAGACACGGCCCAGACUCC
rnacentral:rRNA from 1 species